rnacentral:rRNA from 1 species
GGGGUGCUCGAGUGGCGAACGGGUGAGUAACACGUGAGUAACCUGCCCUUGACUUUGGGAUAACUUCAGGAAACUGGGGCUAAUACCGGAUAGGAGCUCCUGCUGCAUGGUGGGGGUUGGAAAGUUUCGGCGGUUGGGGAUGGACUCGCGGCCUAUCAGCUUGUUGGUGGGGUAAUGGCCUACCAAGGCGGCGACGGGUAGCCGGCCUGAGAGGGUGGACGGCCACAUUGGGACUGAGAUACGGCCCAG